rnacentral:rRNA from 1 species
ACAAUGAAUGCCUUAGUAGCGGCGAGUGAAGCGGCAAUAGCUCAAAUUUGAAAUCUGGCACUUUCAGUGUCCGAGUUGUAAUUUGAAGAAGGUAUCUUUGGGUCUAGCUCUUGUCUAUGUUUCUUGGAACAGAACGUCACAGAGGGUGAGAAUCCCGUGCGAUGAGAUGUCUAGAUCUAUGUAAAGUUCCUUCGAAGAGUCGAGUUGUUUGGGAAUGCAGCUCUAAGUGGGUGGUAAAUUCCAUCUAAAGCUAAAUAUUGGCGAGAGACCGAUAGCGAACAAGUACAGUGAUGGAAAGAUGAAAAGAACUUUGAAAAGAGAGUGAAAAAGUACGUGAAAUUGUUGAAAGGGAAGGGCUUGAGAUCAGACUUGGUAUUUUGUAUGUUACUCUCUCGGGGGUGGCCUCUACAGUUUACCGGGCCAGCAUCAGUUUGAGCGGUAGGAGAAUUGCGUAGGAAUGUGGCUCGGCCUCGGUCGAGUGUUAUAGCCUUCGUCGAUACUGCCAGCUUAGACUGAGGACUGCGGCUUCGGCCUAGGAUGUUGGCAUAAUGAUCUUAAGUCGCCCGUCUUGAACCACGGACCCAA